UACGUAGGGGGCUAGCGUUGUCCGGAAUCAUUGGGCGUAAAGAGCGUGUAGGCGGCCCGGUAAGUCCGCUGUGAAAGUCGGGGGCUCAACCCUCGAAUGCCGGUGGAUACUGUCGGGCUAGAGUGCGGAAGAGGCGAGUGGAAUUCCUGGUGUAGCGGUGAAAUGCGCAGAUAUCAGGAGGAAUACCGGUGGCGAAGGCGGCAUCCUGGACCGAGAUUGACACUGAUGAGCGAAAGCCAGGGGAGCAAACGGG
rnacentral:rRNA from 1 species